CCUACGGGUGGCUGCAGUAACGAAUCUUCCACAAUGCACGAAAGUGUGAUGGAGCGACGCCGCGUGUAGACGAAGUCCUUCGGGAUGUAAACUACUGUCAGGGGAAAGUCACCCCAGAGGAAGUGGCGACUAACUCUGUGCCAGCAGUCGCGGUAAUACAGAGGCCACAAGCGUUAGGCGGAAUCACUGGGCUUAAAGCGUGUGUAGGCGGGUUGGUAAGUACCUUGUGAAAUCCCACGGCUUAACCGUGGAAAGGCUUGGUAUACUGCCGAUCUUGAGUCAUCUAGGGGCAACCGGAACUGAUGGUGGAGCGGUGAAAUGCAUAGAUAUCAUCAGGAACGCCAAUGGUGCAGACAGGUUGCUGGGAGUACUGACGCUGAGGCACGAAAGCUAGGGGAGCAAACGGGAUUAGAUACCCUUGUAGUC
rnacentral:rRNA from 1 species